CUACAUAUUACAUUUUUUGCUGCCGAAAUAAGGAAUGGGAAAAUCCGGAUUUACUAACAAUUUGACUUAUCUGAUUGUAUAUACAUAUAUUGCAUGCACUUUGUUCUGUUAUUUUAGUCUAGUAUAGUUGUGAUUCAAAUAGCCAACCGUAAGUUACCUUUAUGAGAGAGAUUUACGAUUGUAUAUGUAUGUAAAGAAAAACAUUUAAUAAAGUUUCCA